GUCAAAUAGCAGCCAAUUCCACGCGAGCUCUGGCGGCCAGGCCCCGCCCCCCUGACCUCACGUGGCCCCGCAUGAGGUUGCUACUUGCCUGCUCCAGGACCGAGCAGCACUGGGAGUUCUGCCCAGCUCAGCACUUCGUUAUACUGUGGAAGCAGGAAGGAACUGGCCAGCAGGCAUUCCCAAGAGAACACUCAGAGGGACGCUGGUCCAGUGGACUGACAGGCGGCAGAUGCAAAUGGGAACUGAGGUGGAAGCCGAGGACUGAGGACUUCGAGGGCAUCCCCAGGACUCCAUGCUGGAUACCUUCACUGACUGACGGGAGGGAGCGGGUUUGUAGGGCGGUGUGUCAGUCUCUGGCUACCAUCUUUGUCCGCUUCCCGAGGAACGGGACCACAGCUGCAGUUGCCUUGGUACAACCAAUGGGGGACAGUGUCCUGCAGUGGUUAAAGGCGUGGGCUCUGAAACAAGACUGAAUCCUGGCUCGCUCCUGUGUAACCUCAGGCAAGCUACUUGGCCUCACCAUGCCUCAGUUUCUCCAUCUGCAAAAUGGGAGCAGGGAUGGUAGUAUCCAUCUCAGGAGAUUAUAAGGACCUAAAUGACGCCAUGUACAGAGAUGCCUGGGUGGCUCCGUCGGUUAACCGUCUGACUCUUGAUUUUGGCUCAGGUCAUGACCUCCGAGUCAUGGGAUCAAGCCCUGCGUUGGCUCCGCACUCAGUGGAGAGUCUGCUUGUCCCUCUCCCUCUGCUCCCCCCCCCCGCCCGUGUUCUUUCUUUCUCUC
ensembl:lncRNA